rnacentral:rRNA from 1 species
GCCGGAAUCGCUAGUAAUCGCAGAUCAGCAUGCUGCGGUGAAUACGUUCCCGGGUCUUGUACACACCGCCCGUCACACCAUGGGAGUCGGAAAUGCCCGAAGUCAGUGGCCCAACCGCAAGGAGGGAGCUGCCGAAGGCAGGUCCGGUGACUGGGGUGAAGUCGUAACAAGGUAGC